GGCACUGAUUUCUGCUGCAGCAUCUUCCCCAGGAGAAUUGAAUUCAGCCUAGGAAGCAGAGUGGCGAAAAGAGGGUCUUAAUGAGCAGUGUUCAGAAAGAAAUUAUUUCAGGUAUUUCAGCCAAAUAGCUCUGAGGACUUAUAAACUGGGGCUAACAGUAUCUUCUCUUUACUUAUGGAAAGAUAGUGUCACUCUCAAUGAUCUCUCUCCAUUCUUUGUGAUGAAAGAUGGAUAUCUGUAUGAAAACAGAUCUCUGUCUCUGAGCAGAUUAGGACCAUGGCAGAGAAAUCCUGUAUCCAUUGAAGGGAGAGGCAGAAGUGGGACUGCUCCCAGCAAGGGGCAGCAUCAUCCCUGCAAAAGAGAAGAGACAUUUUGGACUGAAAACACGGAUAAAUGUGACUCUGAGCAACCUGAUGGAGUUGAAGAUGCCCCUGCUCAUUGGGGGGUUACACUACAUGAUCUUUAAAGGUCCCUUCCAACCCAAACCAUUCUGUGAAUCUCUGAUUCUGUGACUGUCUCAACCCCAUGUGUCCCACUGAUCUGGAAUAACGUUUGGAGUCUGGCAGUCUGGUCCUGUUCGUAGCUCCAUAGGAUUUUUAGGAGCAUGGGGAGUAUGGGAUACAUGGACAUAUGGACCCACAAAACCCCCUGGAGAAUUCUGGCUGUGGAUAAAAGCAUCUGGAAGUUUUUACCAUCUUUUUACCCUGUCUUUUUUUUCUGGGUCACCCUAUGUCAUUUGUGGCCCUGUCCUGAGGAUUAUAGCAUGCAGUCACUUAUUGGAAUACCUCCCCAUGCAUCUUCUUGAAAUGGAGCCAUUGCUUUACCCAGCUGGAAGAUAUUUUCUCUUCUCCCAGAGCUUUUCCAGUGCAGCAGCACUCCUGUCCAGCAGGUCUCGAUUGACUGCAGAAAGGAGAAGGGAGGAGCGUGUCAAAGGGAGGUCAGAUCCUGCCAGGGUUUCCUGGGAAAUGAGGUGUAUCCACUGUUUGGAUGAUGAAAUUUGGUGACCUGCAAUUUGGCUUGGAUUACAGUAUUUCAGAAGACUUUCUGAACUUGCAGGCAACCCUCCCCCUAGACUUUGGGGACAGAGGAGCUUAAAUUUGCAUUUCCAGUGUUGCACAAGGAGAAAGGAGUUGGCUUCUUUGCCCAAGUAAUGAAAAUCAAUGCUGUGUUGCUCUUGGAAGAAAGAAGAAAAGCCUGGCAUAUAGAUCUUGGUUUAGAGACAGAUUUUGCCUGGAAAGAGUGUGCCUAGGGGAAGAUACAGGAAGAAGAGGUGAUGCUGCAAGCCAACUUCCUAACCCUCCAAGUGGGACUGAAGCUUUGUAAUAAGAUUUAUCUGGAAAAUAUGACUGACAGGAGCAGCUUACUCACCAUUAGAUAAGUAUUGCAGAUGACUCAUGCUGGAGUAUUGAUAGCUGUGCUGCUGAGAUGGAUAUUCUGUUUUAUAACAGCUGUAGUGUGAUGCCAAGAGCCAGCAAUCUUAAUUUAACUAUCCAUGCUUUUCUGUGAACGUGCUUUGGGUCUCUGGCACUUUUUCUCAUUGGUUUGUCCAUCUAAAGGGUUCACAGAGGAAGUUUUGCUUCCCUGAGUGGGUACAGGGUAUGAGGCAUCUCAUGUCACCUUGAAAUGAAAGCUAGUGUUGAAAGGCUGCAGCUUUAUAGCUGUUCUUCAGGACAUGCUGAAGAAUAUUUUGUCUUUUUAACAGAUGCUAUUAGUGACUUUCCUCGAUUCUUUGGGUUUUUUUGUUUUGUUUGUGUUUUUUCAGAGCCGUUAUGCCCCUUCUUCAGCAGAACAAACCAGAAGGUGCAGAAACAGAUAUUUCUAACUAUGGAAGCUCUCCUGAGGAGCUGCAUUAUGCACUGCUGUCCCUGGGAUGGGAUGCAGAGCAAGGAGCGAAGAGCUGCAAUGUGCCAAUGCAAGUUGCUUUUGUGAGGAGGGGGGCUCUCUGGCAUGUCAUAUGGUAACAAAAGACGCUUUACUCUUGGUAGCAAAAAUCCUUAUCCUUCUUGGUUUUUUCCAGGACAGAUGCUAUUUCCUGUUAGAGAUGUUUUGUAUGCAAAUCAAGGUGAUACAACAAGAAAAAAAGUCCUGAAAGCAAUCACACUGAUAAACUCAGCCCACGGGGAAUUCCUGCUUAUCAUUUAUCUUUACUUUUUUCAAUUCUGUACAAGAUACUUCUUUGCAUGUGCUUUCUUACAGUCUUUAAUGUUUGUCCUGCAGAUGUCCUGCUUGUGAACUACAGUGCUUGCAUUUUGCAGGGCUCCAUGUCAGUCUUCAGAAACAAAAGGCAGUAAGUGCUGGAAAUUGGGGUUAACAGUCUCUGUGUUUCAGCUUG